UUCGAUCUAGCCGGUUGAGCUAAACUUAUUCUCGUUUUUAUUACCUAUAAAUGGAGAUUUUCUUGCUUGUGCACUUGUUUACCUGCCGCCGCCUCUGCUUAUCUGCCGUCUCGCGGAUCUGGUAUGUUCACCAUACAUCCUAAUGGGAGCUAAGACAGGCGAAGGCAAGGUUCAACUUCGCAGGGGAUUUGGAUACCCAUUGCCGAGCGUAGUUGGUCUUCAUGUAGCAGAGCCAAGAAGGAGGAUAAAACAAUGCAGGCCAGAUGUCUACAUUGAAGUUCUUUCUGAAUAUCAAAGGGAAACCAUGGAUUAUCGCUCGAACCGUGUUAGGCUCAGAGUGGACAGAUUCAACAAGGUUGUGAGCAAUGCUAGCAUCGGCUAAUGUCUAGGUUUGCAUACAGAAAAUAUGUUCUUAUAUAGCUUCCCUAAUACUAAUAGUGCCUUCGGUAUUGUCAGUUUUACAUCGCCCCCACAAUUACUAUGUUAA